GCCGACAUAGCUCAGCGGUAGAGCAACUGAUUCGUAAUCAGUAGGUCCCCAGUUCAAGCCUGGGUGUCGGCUCCA
rnacentral:tRNA from 10 species